rfam:Triticum urartu cultivar G1812 contig365727, whole genome shotgun sequence.
UCCAUUGCUCAGUUGGUAAAGCACAAAGCUCUUAACCUUGUGGACGUGGGUUCAAGCCCUACGACGGAA